UACGGGGGGGGCAAGCGUUGUUCGGAAUUACUGGGCGUAAAGGGCCCGUAGGCGGCCAACUAAGUCGGUUGUGAAAUCCCCCGGCUCAACCGGGGAAUGGCGUCCGAUACUGAUUGGCUCGAAUCCGGGAGAGGGAUGCAGAAUUCCAGGUGUAGCGGUGAAAUGCGUAGAUAUCAGGAGGAACACCCAUGGCGAAGGCAGCAGACUGGGCGUUUCCUGACGCUGAGGCGCGAAAGCGUGGGUAGCAAACAGG
rnacentral:rRNA from 1 species